rnacentral:rRNA from 1 species
CGCGCAGGCGGGUUGGCAAGUCAGAGGUGAAAUCCUACAGCUUAACUGUAGAACUGCCUUUGAGACUGCUAAUCUUGAGUACGGAAGAGAGAGAUGGAAUUCCAGGUGUAGUGGUGAAAUACGUAGAUAUCUGGAAGAACACCAGUGGCGAAGGCGAUCUCUUGGUCCUUUACUGACGCUAAGGCGCGAAAGCGUGGGGAGCAAACA